GUGUCAGCAGCCGCGGUAAUACGGAGGGAGCUAGCGUUGUUCGGAAUUACUGGGCGUAAAGCGCACGUAGGCGGCUACUCAAGUCAGAGGUGAAAGCCCGGGGCUCAACCCCGGAACUGCCUUUGAAACUAGGUGGCUAGAAUCUUGGAGAGGCGAGUGGAAUUCCGAGUGUAGAGGUGAGAUUCGUAGAUAUUCGGAAGAACACCAGUGGCGAAGGCGAUUCGCUGGACAAGUAUUGACGCUGAGGUGCGAAAGCGUGGGGAGCAAACAGGAUUAGAAACCCCAGUAGUCC
rnacentral:rRNA from 1 species